UGUGGGAAGCUCUUCAAAGACAGCCCAGUGCCUCCAACGCAGUUCGAAAGGGCCUACAACACCUGAUACCUGGGGGAAAUUAUUGCCCUCAAAUGAGGAAAAGCAAAGCAAAGUUAAUAUUCGAUCAUGCACAAAUAUUUUGUCAACUAGUAAACCGCACCUCACAAUAGCGUGGACCCAGCAGGACAAAGGUGGAGCUUGGACUUGGGCAAGGUGACUAGCUCAGAAAUCAUGCCACCCCUCCCCCUCGACGGAGCCUGGGAUAGAGUUGGCCUGGAGGCUUCCAAGGGGGAGAAAUGAAUGAGUGAAGAUUCUUCUUCUGGGUCAGAGAUACGGCAACAACCUAAGUAUCUGUCAGUUGACGAAUGGAUAAAGAAGAUGUAGAAGACAGGUACAAUGGAAUAUUAUUCAGCCAUGAGGAAGAAGGAAAUUUUGCCAUUUGUGACAACACGGAUGAAAC